GAACAGUUGAUCUUGCCAAGCUUUAAGUUUUCUCUAAGGAGCAAAAUUAGUUUAACCCAAAUUUAAAAUCUGAAUUUUACUCUUCUGUGGUGCUGCCAGUAGAGGGCAGUAUUUGGACGCUAUGAAGAAGGAAGUUUGGACUUUAUAUUUUGGAAUCCUGCAGAGCGAAGCAUGUGGGACUGUUUAAUGCUGGAGCUUUUAGGAGCCCCGUUAUGUUCUAAAAGCCCCUCAGUGAUUGACUUCUCAGUGUCUAAAGUUGUGGUGUGACAGGUUAGGAUAUACUUUCCAAGGAUGAAAAGACCUCUCUAAAAUCAUUUAGUUGCUCUAAAAACUGAAGGUUGGAGGGGGAAACGAUCAUUUAAAUUGGUUUGGUGUAUUUUCAAAUGUAAGGGAACCAAACCAUAAUAGAUAUGAAUCGGGACGCAUUUGUCUGGUCGGGGC
rnacentral:lncRNA from 1 species